UACGUAGGGGCAAGCGUUGUCCGGAAUCAUUGGGCGUAAAGAGCGUGUAGGCGGCUUGGCAAGUCUGACGUGAAAGCCCGCGGCUCAACCGCGGAUUGUCGUUGGAAACUGCCUCGCUAGAGUCCGGAAGAGGAGAGCGGAAUUCCUGGUGUAGCGGUGGAAUGCGCAGAUAUCAGGAAGAACACCCGUGGCGAAGGCGGCUCUCGUGGGACGGUACUGACGGCUGAGACGCGAAAGCGUGGGGAGCGAACAGG
rnacentral:rRNA from 1 species